AUUGAACGCUGGCGGCAGGCCUAACACAUGCAAGUCGAGUGGAGCGGCGGGCGGGUGAGUAAUGCAUAGGAAGCUGCCUGGUCGUGGGGGAUAACGUCCGGAAACGGGCGCUGAUACAGCAUACUAGCAGAUGAGCGUAGGUCGGAUUGGCUAGUUGGUGGGGUAACGGCCUACAAAGGCGACAAUCCGUAACUGGGCUGAGAGGAUGAUCAGUCACACUGGAACUGAUACACGGUCCAGACUCCUCCGGGAGGUAGCAGUGGGGAAUAUUGGACAAUGGGCGAAAGCCUGAUCCAGCCAGGCCGCGUGUGUGAAGAAGGUCUUCGGAUUGUAAAGCACUUUAAGUUGGGAGGCGUUACCAACAGAAGAAGCACCGGCUAACUUCGUGCCAGCAGCCGCGGUAAUUC
rnacentral:rRNA from 1 species